UGGAUACUUGAGUUUCUUUCGGUGUCUCCUUCUUGUGGUGACAACUGUAUAAAAGUAUCCCACAGAAAAAUAGAAGCUAUCUGUUCAUCCCUGGAUAGUUAACAGGGUUGAAUCGUUCCACUUCUGACACAU